UUGCAGCCAUAUUUCAUUGAAACACCGGUUCUCAUACAAUCAUCGAAGUUAGUUAAGUAACGUCGAGCCUGGUCAGUACCUAGAUGGGUGACCAGUUGGAAAUAUCAGGUGCUGUAAG